rnacentral:rRNA from 1 species
AGUGAACGCUGGCGGCGUGCUUAACACAUGCAAGUCGAACGAGAACGGAUUAUAGCUUGCUAUAAUUGUCAGCUAAGUGGCGCACGGGUGAGUAAUAUAUAGGUAACGUGCCCUAGAGAAGAGGAUAACAGUUGGAAACGAUUGCUAAGACUCUAUAUGCCUUUAAGACUUAAGUCUGCAAGGGAAAUAUUUAUAGCUCUAGGAUCGGCCUGUACAGUAUCAGUUAGUUGGUGAGGUAAUGGCUCACCAAGACAAUGACGCUUAACUGGUUUGAGAGGAUGAUCAGUCACACUGGAACUGAGACACGGUCCAGACUCCUACGGGAGGCAGCAGUGGGGAAUAUUGCACAAUGGACGAAAGUCUGAUGCAGCAACGCCGCGUGGAGGAUGACACAUUUCGGUGCGUAAACUCCUUUUAUAUAGGAAGAU